GCCUGAUUAUUUGGCCUCUUUUGUCACAGCCUGGGGACACCUUUCUGUUUGCGUGAGCUGCCCUUCAACACCGGAGGUUUUUGAGGCUGGCGACUGCGGCUGCCUUUCCUGGUACUUGAGGGACAGAGCACUGCCCAGGACGUGGAUUCUGAUCGUUCCUUAGGCUUCACAUACGUGACGUUGAUCCCGAAGCACCUGCUGGGGCAGGUGUGCAGAUGACCCUCUGGAUGUGUGUCUGUGGCCUGAGUCUCAGAGUCAGCCGAGCCGAUGUUCAUGGUGGACUGGAUCGUAUCCCUACUCGUAGCUGGUGAAGAAUGGGCGAGAUAGAAGGGACAUACAGAGCCCUGCAGACCCCAGGGGCUCGCCUGGGCGCCCAGCCCCUCACGGGUGUGAGCACCCUGGAGCCCGGGCAGGCUCCCUCGGCUGGGAUGGCACGGAUGGCGGCCAGAACACAGGAGACGCGCUCUCCCCU